rnacentral:rRNA from 1 species
UACGGAGGGUGCAAGCGUUGUCCGGAAUCACUGGGCGUAAAGGGUGCGUAGGCGGGUCUUUAAGUCAGGUGUGAAAUCCUGGAGCUCAACUCCAGAACUGCCUUUGAUACUGAGGAUCUUGAGUACGGGAGAGGUGAGUGGAACUGCGAGUGUAGAGGUGAAAUUCGUAGAUAUUCGCAAGAACACCAGUGGCGAAGGCGGCUCACUGGCCCGUUACUGACGCUGAGGCACGAAAGCGUGGGGAGCAAACAGG